rnacentral:rRNA from 1 species
ACGCUGGCGGCACGCCUAACACAUGCAAGUCGAACGCAGUAGCAAUACUGAGUGGCGAACGGGUGAGUAUAAUGUGGGUAUCUGCCUUUUGGUUUGGAAUAACACGGGGAAACUUGUGCUAAUACCGGAUAAGCCCUUACGGGGAAAGUUUUAACGCCAAAAGAUGAGCCCGCACUUGAUUAGCUAGUUGGUAAGGUAAUAGCUUACCAAGGCUACGAUCAAUAGCUGAUCUGAGAGGAUGAUCAGCCACAUUGGGACUGAGACACGGCCCAAACUCCUACGGGGGGCAGCAGUGGGGAAUCUUGCACAAUGGGGGAAACCCUGAUGCAGCGAUGCCGCGUGAGUGAAGAAGGCCUUUGGGUUGUAAAGCUCUUUCGUCGGGGAAGAAAAUGACUGUACCCGAAUAAGAAGGUCCGGCUAACUUCGUGCCAGCAGCCGCGGUAAUACGAAGGGACCUAGCGUAGUUCGGAAUUACUGGGCUUAAAGAGCUCGUAGGUGGUUAAAAAAGUUGGUGGUGAAAGCCCAAGGCUUAACCUUGGAACUGCCAUCAAAACUUUUUGACUAGAGUAUGAUAGAGGAAAGUGGAAUUUCUAGUGUAGAGGUGAAAUUCGUAGAUAUUAGAAAGAACACCGAUUGCGAAGGCAGCUUUCUGGAUCAUUACUGACACUGAGGAGCGAAAGCAUGGGUAGCGAAGAGGAUUAGAUACCCUCGUAGUCCAUGCCGUAAACGAUGUGUGCUAGACGUUGGAAACUUAGUUUUCAGUGUCGCAG